AUUACGUUGCAGACAUUAUUGCGCGUAUCCAGCAAAAAAUAAUGCCACGUAGAUUAUGCAAUCGAAAUGGCGAGGAUCUCCGUUAUCAACUGACGCUCAGAUCGACUGGGGAUACCAAACGAACAUAAAAUGAGUGUAAAGUAUUGACAUUAUCUUUCACGAACGUUAUCUUCGAGAUCUCCCUUUCUUAUGAAUUCGAGAAAUAAAAAACCUUAAGUACUUGAGAGAUUUGGUGCUUGUUGAUAUCGUGUAGUUGACGUGGAAAAUUAAUAAUAGUCUUCCAAUAAGCAACAAUCUUUGCAAUGGAAAGGGAAAGAAAAAGAUUCUGUAAGAGUUGUUUUAUUUUUAUGAGAUAUCGAAUUGCGGAAUGAUUCUGCGGAAAAACUUACUAACGAUUAUUUAUCGAUAACGAUGGUAUGGUUUUUAAUGAAAUUAUUAGUGGAGAAAUUCAAUGAAAAAGUAAUACACGCGCAUUCUUUCCAUGGAAGAAGGAAAGAAAGUUUACAGUAAAAUUCGUAUCACCCAUAUUUAUUUAAUGAGCUUUAUUAUAUGACACUUUUCUUUGUCGAAGUUAAACUCCAGUCACAAUUUUCUCAAACUGAACUUUAUCGUUUACAUCACUCCUUCCAUGAGUUUCCCUUUCCUCGUUCCCUGUCAUAAGCAUAUUUAUCGGUUUCUGGAUUAUUGAUGACACAGACAACCGCGUAACCUUCGAGUUAAACGUUCGAUAUUAAAGCAAAUAUUCCGAGAACUCGAGGCAUUCAAAAGUCUUGACAAAAAGAGGAAAGCAUAGAAACCAGAGAGGAAACGAAGAAGGUGUAAAAAAUCGGAGAGCAUAGAAAGAAAGAAAUAUCGUGUGUCGCAACAGCGUCCUUUCUCCUUUUCGUAAACCGAGCGAACGUUAAAAAAGAAGAGAAAAAGAAAUCGUUUUGGUUGGAAACAAGCGAAUUCCGCGGACUGGAUAUCCUCGAAGCCUUUUUAAUCGUCGACUGCUAAUAGCCCAUCAUCGUCUGCCAGGUGAGUCAUCGUUCUCCAUUCGUUCCAUCGGUCAAGCCUGGAGGUGACCCUAUGGAGUGAUCUCGCGAGGAUUGACCCACGAAAAAACGCCGGAAGUCAGCCACGUAAUCCACUCGGGCACGCCAAGGCCUUCCAUGAGUACGAGCCCUAAACGGUCACCAAUUAUCGUCUAGCAAGCGAGCGUCCUCUGGCUUUCAAUAGCUUUUCAUCGUUUGUUCCGUUCAUACGAUGAAACAGCCUCGAAUUUGUCGAUUUUUUAUUCGUUCUCUUAUCGAUGCAUCUUCUAUUUAAAAAAGCUACAUCGUAAAGUAAACUUUUCAUUUAUAUUUUCUUCGUCGAAGAAGAAGAUGCUUCGAACGAACAGAUUUUAUUCUACGCUGCCCACUUGCGGAAUAAUCUCCUGUCACGUUCUUUAUUUUUCAUUAGAAUAAUUCAUUACUAUGUAUAUGUACUAUGUAGUAUGUUUUAUUCAGUUUUACAGCACUUGCUUUACAACAGCCUACUUUUCCAACGAUAAUCUUACAGCGUGAUUCAAUAAUAUAUAUACUACAUAAUUCAUUAAAAAAAUCCAAUAGAAACGUCAACAAAGGCAUAGCUCCAUCCAUUUUGUCUCUAACACUGACUGCGGUUGCUCUUUCUUUGCCCACUUGGUGAGUCGAAACGAUGUGUAUCGUAUAAACGUCUCAUCUAUCUGUCCUAAAAAUACUCUCUAGCUUAUCGCCUUAGUCACAAGCUUCUGGUGCUGCGUAAUAAGCCUCUAUUAUCAUGUGACCGUGGUUUCUGGCGAUUUUUAUCGCCACAUGGGAGUCCACCGACUUUUGUUUACGAUUUUUCAACGAACGACCAUGAGAUUCUCUCGUAUCUCGUCCGUAAAUGGAAAUCCAGCGCUGGUUUCGUGAUCAUUGUUCGCGUUCUCAUUGUUGACAAAGUUUGUAGAAAGAUAUUCGACGAACAGUGGAGAUAGACUGUAUAACGGUGCUAUAGUAUGAUAUAAUUUUAUUUAUCGAUCGUCGUUAAUUUAAUUCGUUUCAGAUCGAACUUCUCUGGACUAUAGGAGAAAUUUCAUUUUAUCAGCUACCAAUGAUAAAAUUAUUUGCAGGAUGAAAUAUUUGAAGUUGCCAGACAACGUGUUAAUAAAAUUUCAAGCAAUUUCAGAAAUCCACGAAAUAUAUUACAGCAGAUAAGAGCGCGAGAAGGUAGACGUGCAAAAGGAAGCCACGCGGAAGAGAAGCGGAAGGAGGAGCAAAAUGCGAAGAAAACGAUGGAACUCCGUGGCGCGUGUUGCGGCAUUUGCGAAACGAUUUGGUAUUAUUAUUAGUCGAAUCGUUGGAAUCGCGCAAGGUCGCGUCACCUCGUCUCCUGCCCCUUCGCGGCUCUCUUUCUUUCUCUCUCUCUCUCUCUCUCUCUCUUUCUCUGUGCCUCCUUCCCUUGUAUCGUCGUAGUCACGAUCGUAAACGCAGGCCCGUGGAAGCGAACGUGGAACGUCCUUUUCACCGGGUCGGCGCUAAAAAGGCGAUGACGAACGCCCGAGAUUGAAAAUUCGGCGCGUGUAGAUCGACCUCCUCGUGUCGCGCGAACAUCGACCACGUGCGAUUAGAUCGAUCACGGAUCGAAACGUGUCGCGGAUCGAAACGACAGAAGAUAAGAAUACACGACGCGAAGCUCCCUCGCGUUCUACCAAGGCCACCUACCAAAUUCCCAUUGGGAUUAUCGCGACAGAUUAAGUGUCCAGACAUUCGAUGUAACACAAGGACCGUAUUAUUAUGGACGACGAUAUGGUUUGAUAGUUACUACGUGGUCUUGGAAAUAUUUGCUGCAGGAUUAGAAGAAACUUGAAUAUUUUACAUUAGCAAGAAUUUCAGACGGAGAGGAAAAUGACGAUAUUAAUUGGACAAUUAGGCCUGUGAUAAUUAUUUUAUAUUCUUUGGAAGUUUUGAGAAUCAUAUAAUUUACAGGCUGAGGAAUGAGAUAGGCUGUAACAUGUACAUCGAUAAGAACAUUUUUCCAAGCAUAUUAUGUACAAGUUUUCCAAAAUUCUGAUGGUGUUGAAUCUGUUUCAUUAAUAAAUUGAAUAGCCAACCAGAUAUUUUACUUAUCCUUGAAGAUCCAAUCAAAAGGAUUAUUGCUCUUGUCGUAAACUCGAUGAUAUCUUGUGUGUUCUCGUUGCAUUGCUCACAUUUUCGAAAGGUUUGAUUCAAAGCCAAGAUUUUGUAACAGGAAGCAAUUACGAGGUCGAAGGUGGUGUGCUGCUUCGACGAUAGCCACCGUUCGUGCACUUUGCUAGCGCGUUCCAUUCUUUUUUCCGUCUGUACAUUCCCGGCCGUUUCCACUUAACGCCAGAAUCCAUUUUCACGUCUAUUCGCUUAUUUCGCGGCUCACGUUGCUCCACAGUCUGUGCAUAUCUUUCCUUUUUCACUUCGAGUGUCGGUG